AACGUAGGAGACAAACGUUAUCCGGAGUUACUGGGCGUAAAGGGCGUGUAGGUGGUAUCGUAAGUCUGGCGUGAAAUUUCUCGGCUUAACCGAGGCAGGUCGUCGGAUACUGCGAGGCUAGAGGACGGUAGAGGCGUGUGGAAUUCCGGGUGUAGUGGUGAAAUGCGUAGAGAUCCGGAGGAACACCGGUGGCGAAGGCGGAUCUCUGGGCCAUUACUGACGCUGAGGUGCGAAAGC
rnacentral:rRNA from 1 species